rnacentral:tRNA from 1 species
GGCCGGGUGGUGCAAUGGUUAGCACGUCCUGUCAAUGCUCUCCGCAACCCUUGACCGGGUUUUUGAUCUGCCAUUUUGGGUGGAGAGCGAUGGGAAGAUCGAGGUUCGAGUCCUUGCCUGGCCA